rnacentral:rRNA from 1 species
AGUGGCGGACGGGUGAGUAAUGUCUGGGAAACUGCCUGAUGGAGGGGGAUAACUACUGGAAACGGUAGCUAAUACCGCAUACCAUCGGAUGUGCCCAGAUGGGAUUAGCUAGUAGGUGGGGUAAAGGCUCACCUAGGCGACGAUCCCUAGCUGGUCUGAGAGGAUGACCAGCCACACUGGAACUGAGACACGGUCCAGACUCCUACGGGAGGCAGCAGUGGGGAAUAUUGCACAAUGGGCGCAAGCCUGAUGCAGCCAUGCCGCGUGUAUGAAGAAGGCCUUCGUGUUGUAAAGUACUUUCAGCGGGGAGGCGUUACCCGCAGAAGAAGCACCGGCUAACUCCGUGCCAGCAGCCGCGGUAAUACGGAGGGUGCAAGCGUUAAUCGGAAUUACUGGGCGUAAAGCGCACGCAGGCGGUUUGUUAAGUCAGAUGUGAAAUCCCCGGGCUCAACCUGGGAACUGCAUCUGAUACUGGCAAGCUUGAGUCUCGUAGAGGGGGGUAGAAUUCCAGGUGUAGCGGUGAAAUGCGUAGAGAUCUGGAGGAAUACCGGUGGC